rnacentral:rRNA from 1 species
AUACGAAAGGUGCGAGCGUUGUUCGGAUUUACUGGGCGUAAAGCGAGUGUAGGUGGUUUGUUAAGUCGGAUGUGAAAUCCCGGGGCUCAACCUCGGAACUGCAUUCGAUACUGGCAGGCUCGAGUUCGGGAGGGGUAAGCGGAAUUCCGUGUGUAGCAGUGAAAUGCGUAGAUAUACGGAGGAACACCUGAGGCGAAGGCGGCUUACUGGACCGAUACUGACACUGAGACUCGAAAGCGUGGGUAGCAAACAGGAUUAGAAACCCUAGUAGUCC